rnacentral:lncRNA from 1 species
CAGGUAUAAAAAUAAAAUUAUAAAUAAUUAAAAUUUUAAAAACCUCCAAAUAAAUGAAAACAUAAUAAUUCUAAACCUUCAACAUAACUAUAAAUGAUCAAAUUUUACAAGGAAAAUCAAAAGAAUGCUAAGUCUUCAUCAUAAACUUGCAAUUGCUUUUCAAUAACCAUCACCAUUAAGAUUCUUCAUACACCUACAACAAGAUAAACAAAGAAAAUAAAAACAUGUUUUAACAAUUUCAACUUAACAAAUACUUAACCAACCGGCAGGAAUCUGAGCAAUUAUCACUAACUAACCUUCCUAUUCCAACCAAUCUGUAACACAUGAUUGAAGCUUAUACCAGGUGAAAGCCUGAAAGAUUCAAUUCAGGUGAGAGGCACAUGGAUCUAUUAGUGUCAUUGAUAUUAUACAACAUUAUAAAACCCGUGGCACAGUCAUUUCCAAAUUAAAUUUUCAGUUAAAAGAACUCACAACAUUAUCCCAUUAAUUACCUCAAUGUCAUCCCCAAAUAUUCUCGUAACUAGUUCACAAACUAUAUUUGUAAUCAGCAAAUUAGCUUAUGAGAUCGAUCCAAAUUACUUGAAAACCCACAAAAACACAAGAAAAAUUACCCACCAAUGAAUUCAGGCCUUUACCACCUAAUCCCCAAAUAUUCUCCUAAAUUUGCAAGUCCAGAUAGCAGUUUGAUUUGAAAACUAUCGACAAACAAUCCCACAAUCCCAACCCAUUAAGCUCUCAAAUACAAUAAAACCCACAAAGCCUGAUAUAAUCACCAUUUGUUGCCAUGCCCCAUACUACCAUUUUGUUCAAAUUUACAUACAGCUUCACAAAACAAACCAUCAACAAAUACAAUACUGUAAAGCUACUAAACAGAACAAAAUGAGAGAGGAAAAAAAAAAAAAAACCCUCAUAAACUUACACAAAAAUAGACAUAACCAUCAAAGGAAAAAAAAAAAGAACGAGAGUAUAAAAUUAAAGAAAAAGCAUACCGUUCAAGCAAUAAAAGCUAACAAAAAGAAAACUUGAUCACUCAAGCUGAGUUAGCUGGCGGAAGAAACGAGGGAACAUAUCCUUUUUGUUCCAGAUAAUAAGUUUUUUUUUUUUUAAUAUU